rnacentral:rRNA from 1 species
UAAGGAAUAUUGGGCAAUGGAGGCAACUCUGACCCAGCCAUGCCGCGUGAAGGAUGAAGGCCCUAUGGGUUGUAAACUUCUUUUGUAUGGGAAUAAACGCAGUUACGUGUAACUGUUUGAAUGUACCAUAAGAAUAAGCACCGGCUAACUCCGUGCCAGCAGCCGCGGUAAUACGGAGGGUGCAAGCGUUAUCCGGAUUUAUUGGGUUUAAAGGGAGCGUAGGCGGGAUUGUAAGUCAGUGGUGAAAGCCCGUAGCUCAACUACGGAACUGCCAUUGAUACUGCAGACCUAGAGUACACUUGAAGUGGGCGGAAUGUGUCAUGUAGCGGUGAAAUGCUUAGAUAUGACACAGAACACCAAUUGCGAAGGCAGCUCACUAAAUUGUAACUGACGCUGAGGC